UACGAAGGGGGCUGGCGUUGUUCGGAAUUACUGGGCGUAAAGCGCGCGUAGGCGGUUUUGCAAGCCAGAGGUGAAAUGCCUGAGCUCAACUUAGGAAUUGCCUUUGGGACUGCGAGGCUUUGAGGACGGGAGAGGUGAGUGGAAUUCCCAGUGUAGAGGUGAAAUUCGUAGAUAUUGGGAAGAACACCGGUGGCGAAGGCGGCUCACUGGCCCGUUUCUGACGCUGCAGCGCGAAAGCGUGGGGAUCAAACAGG
rnacentral:rRNA from 1 species